AAGAUCAUACUUCAAGGGAUCAUUUCUGAAGUAAACUUAACAGAUUCGUGACGGAAUCUGUAAGCAACACCGACCACGAUGAUGAGGUGUGGAGUUUCCUUCUGAGCGCGAAGCGGGUCGGCUGACUGUCUUUUUUUGCAGAUGGCCGGCCAUUGAUGACCGUUCCCGCUUUCUAUCAGGAAGUCGGGAGGGAGGAAACUCGUUCUGAGUGGU